rnacentral:rRNA from 1 species
CAGUAGCCGCGGUAAUACGUAGGGUGCGAGCGUUAAUCGGAAUUACUGGGCGUAAAGCGUGCGCAGGCGGUUGUGUAAGACAGGUGUGAAAUCCCCGGGCUUAACCUGGGAACUGCGCUUGUGACUGCACAGCUAGAGUAUGGCAGAGGGGGGUGGAAUUCCACGUGUAGCAGUGAAAUGCGUAGAGACGUGGAGGAACACCGAUGGCGAAGGCAGCCCCCUGGGCCAAUACUGACGCUCAUGCACGAAAGCGUGGGGAGCAAACAGGAUUAGAUACCCCAGUAGUCCCUGUCUCUUAUAC